rfam:Angiostrongylus cantonensis strain Taiwan genome assembly, scaffold: ACAC_scaffold0000014
CCGUCGGUGGUUCAGUGGCAGAAUGUUCGCCUGCCACGCAGGCGACCCGGGUUCGAUUUCCAGCCGAUGCA